rnacentral:rRNA from 1 species
CAGUAGCCGCGGUAACACGGAGGGUGCAAGCGUUACUCGGAAUCACUGGGCGUAAAGGACGCGUAGGCGGAUUAUCAAGUCUCUUGUGAAAUCUAACGGCUUAACCGUUAAACUGCUUGGGAAACUGAUAACCUAGAGUAAGGGAGAGGCAGAUGGAAUUCUUGGUGUAGGGGUAAAAUCCGUAGAUAUCAAGAAGAAUACCUAUUGCGAAGGCGAUCUGCUGGAACUUAACUGACGCUAAUGCGUGAAAGCGUGGGGAGCGAACAGGAUUAGAUACCCGGGUAGUCCCUGUCUCUUAUAC